UGGGAGUCAUGUACGUACAGCUGAUGAGUCCCAAGUAGGACGAAACUCACA
rnacentral:hammerhead_ribozyme from 15 species